AUUCUGACUGUCUCACUCUCCGUAUGCUCUUUAUCUACCUCACUGUAUCUGUUUCACUCUUUCUGUCUCACUCUUUGCCUCACUCUGACGGUCUCACUCUCCAUAUGCUCUUUGUCUACCCCACCGUAUCACUAUAUCCAACCAAACGAUGAUUAAUUGCCGAGUUCUGACUUUAUUUUUUUAAUCUCCCCGACUCAGACGUCCCGUAUGUAAAACGCGCGCUUGCGUAAAUGGAGGCCAGAUACGAGGCGAAUCUGAUUGGCUGAGGAGGCUGACAAUCUGAAACGAUAUCUCCAAAUUAGAAUGGAAUUUAUUUCACCUAGGGUUCGGUUAGGCGAAGGGUUAACGGGGAAAGUGUAAAGGUUCCGAUGGGCGGAGCUAUCACAAAACUGGCUGAAAAGGAAUAUUACACGAGUUUUUUUUAGUGGGCGGAGUCUGUGUAGAGAAGCAGGAACCACAGGAAGUGAAAGAGUACCGUUGAGAUUGUAGAAAUCCUGCAGAUUAACUUGUCUGUCAUAAUUAUUUUGAGAAUUGAUCGGCCACCUGAGUAGUAAACGACUAUCGAAUAUUUCCCAUGAGUACAUCUUCGCUUCUGGAGCGUGUGUGUGUGUGUGUGUGUGUGUGUGUGUGUGUGUGUUGUGUAAUUUGUUGUAUUGUUCUUGUCUUACACCGUGUGUAUAUCUUUGUGGAGAUUUGAUAUUUCAUCACACAUCGUGCACUGGGGUCACACACACACACACACACACAUCAUGAGAAUGGAGAAAAUGCUCCUGUGGUGUAAUUGUGUCGAGUGGAUCAUAAAAAAAAUAUCAAAUUUGUCUUUGUGUUGCUGUUGGCUCUGUUUUUUCCUCUCACACACGCACACACACGCGCGCAAUUCCGCAUCUCUUACUGCAUCGAUCGGCCUUCUCUCUCUCUCUGUGUGUGUGUGUGUGUGUGUGUGUGUGAAGGUGUGUUUCCCAUAAUGUACAGCAGCAGCAGCAGGCGUGCUCUGCGCCAGCUCAGCGUGACGCCCCAUUAGCGCUCGGUCCACAGAACCGACAGAACAGCGGACGAGUGCAGAGAGGCCUCUACCUGCUUCUGCCCUCCUCCUCGCUCCUCCUCUUCCCUCGCUCCACUUGCCCCGAAAACGAAGAAACAGGAGUGACCUUUUCCACCCCGUCACGCCAACACGACUCCGCGGCACAGCGGUGGGGAGAGAGAAGGGAGAGCGAGAGAAGGCGGGAGAGGGGGAGAGAGAGAAGGAGGGAGAGGGAGAGAGAGAGAGAGAAAGAAGGAGAGGUGAUUAAACUUCUCAAAGGCUCGCAGGAAGGAGGUUUUUCAGCAAAAAACAAGACGCCAAACAAAGGCGUAGGUGGUGUGUGAGUGGGGCGAGCUGUUUUUAACGCUUUCCUUGGGUGACCAGAUUACACAAAUUGCUCAUUAUAGAUCUUUAAUUACAUUUUGAGUUGUAAUAGUGACAUCAGGGUUGUACUUGAGGCUGUAGAUGAAAUUAUGACUGCCGCAUUCUCGCGACGCAGUGAGGGUUCAUGGGAAAGCGGACUGCGGGAACCCGGAGACGCUCCGAUGCUUUCACUUGCUUUCCUUUCAGGUGCACGUCAAGAGUUCUUGACAUAAUGGAUUCCUCAAUAAAAAAAUAUUGAUUUCGCUGAAAUUGUGUGUGUGUGUGUGUGUGUGUGUGUGUGUGUGUGUGUGUGUGUGUGUUGGCAUGUACCAGCGUAUCAUAUCAUAGCUCAUGCUACAUGGGCAGUGCACACCCCAUGUACACACAACUGGUGUGUUCGUUUAAGCCUUGUUAAAACAGCUGACAGCACAAGGUCACAGAGUGAGAGAGAGAGAGAGAGAGAGAGAGAGAGAGAGAGAGAUAAAGUAAAAGACAUAACAGAUAGAUAUACAGAGAGAGAGAGAGAGAGAAUGGAUAAUUAGACUGAGUAAUCGGUCUUUCAUUAACCCGAGUUCUUUUUCUCGUCACAGUCACAUCAUGGAUGACGGUGCGUAUGUCAGAGUAGAUGAUGGUGUGUGUGUGUGUGUGUGUGUGUGUGUGUGUCAGCGUGGAUGAUAGUGUGUGUGUUCUCCGCAGCUGAUCAAACUCCUCUUGAUGAUCUGGCUUUCAUCCCCUAUCAUUGGCUAAUCAAACAGAACACAACUUGCCAACACACACACGCUUAACAGGCAUGCACGAGCUGUCACACUCCCACUCGUUCACACUCCCACUCCCGGCACCAUCGCACUUUCAGCGCACGCACACACACACACACACACACACACACACACACACAGACGCAUACAUGCCAGCUGCGUGGUCUGUCACCAUCAGCACAGGCCAAACAUUCUCCUUCCUCUCAUAACGGCCGGCUCGGAGGUCAGCGGAGUGGGCGGGGUUUUAUGGUAAUGUGGGAGGAGCUUCAUGUUUAGAGCACAAAAUUAGAGUUUGACAUCUAGGCGUUCAGAGAAAAAGGAGUACAUAUACGGAAAUAUGGGCGGGGCUUUGAGGCCAUAUAGGGAAAUAUAGCUGAUCAUUGGAGUCCAGAUAUGGAAAUUGAGGCGGGACUUUAAUCCAUAUUUAGUCCAUAUAUAUAUAGUAUAUAGGAAGUAUGGAAUCUUGAGUCUAUAUAGUUCCAUUUAUGUGUCCAUAUAUGGAAAUACCGGCGGGACAUGAGUCCAUAUGUGGAAGUAGAAGUGGGACUAGAGUUGAGAUAUGGAAAUAUAGGAUGGCGUCCAAAUAUGGAAGUAUAGCUGAACCUUAGAGUCCAUAUACUUCAAUGUAGGUGUGACUGUGUCGGAAUAUGGAAAUCCAGGUGGGACUCGAGUCCAUAUAUAGAAGUAGAAUUGAGACUGGAGUGCAGAUUUGGAAAUAUUGCUGGACGUUGCGUCCAUUUAUGGAAGUAUAGCUGAAACUUUGAGUCUAUAUAUACUUCAAUAUAGGUGAGCUUAUGUCCAUAUAUGGCACUAUAGGCAGGACCCGAAUCCAUAUAUGUAUAUUUGUUGAGACUGUGUCCAUAUAUGGCGGAAUAUCUGAAACUCUGUGUCUAUAUAUGAAAAUAGAGGAGACUUAAAUCCGACAUGGACGUAUAAGCAGGAAUGUGAGUCCAUACAUGCUAAUAUAGACAUGUCUCGGAACUCAUAUAUUGAAAUGGAAGCGUCUUCGAUGGGUGUGAUUUGAAGACCAUAUAUGGAAAAUAUGGGCGUGUCUUAGGAAUCAAACAUGGAUUGGCUCAUCUCUCAGUUCACCUGUGGAGAUUUGAGUGUGUCUAUUGAGUUCUUGUAUGGAAAUGUGGGAUUGUCCGAGACCAUAUAUGGGAACGUGAGGUGUGUCUCUGAGCUCGGGUGUGGAAAUAGUCAGGUAUUUUCACAAAUAUUGUUAAUGACAGGAGAAAACCUUAUCAUACUGACGGAUUUAUUUGACCUGCUCAGAAACAUAGAAAAGGCGUGUCUUCGGGUUCAUACACGGGUACCAAGACACGCCCACUAAUCUGAAUCUUGCAGAUGGACCACCAUCUUUUUUUUGUGAUGUUUUCUCUGUGAGGGAGUCUUAGUAAGUUGGGAAAAAGCACAGCAGUGUGUGUGAAUACUUUGUUUUGACUUGUGUAAUUCCGGCAGAUAUAAAUAGUCAGACUGAAUGCAAAUGAGCAGCACGGAGAACACUCUGUUCUAGCGGUGCAUGUCGCUUUCCCAGAUGAUUUGAUGCGGAACUUGAUCGAUGAUCUGAUGGGACACUUACGGGCACAGAGGCCACGCCUCCUUAACCAAAGCUGACUUUUUACAACCCAUACUCUGUCACUUCCUUAUUUAGGCAUAGAAUGAAAAAUGAACUGGUUGAUCUGGAAGACAAUGUUAUACAGCGCCUGCUGUCCUUAGCGUCCUGGCUCUGGAUUCUGUUUGGUCCCUUUCCGAGUCGGUCGGUUGUCACAUGAUGAUUUGUUACCUGGUUUGGUUCGCUGUCUAACGUGUCAGAAAUUUGGCAAAAAAGAUGAGUCUGGACAUUGGACCGGUGUAUUCAGGUCGUCGUUUAUUAGACGCAGAAGAUCAAUAUGGCAUUGUAUCGAAUGAGAAAAAGAACGGAUGUGGGAAAAGUGAGACGUUUUGCUGAGGGAGAAUGUCCUCCGUUUAAGACAAGUGUGCACACACACACAUGCGCACUCUUUUUAUCCUUCAAAGCAACUUAAACAGGCUUGAACAGAGCUGACUCAGUAGAAUAUGCCCAGUGAAAAGUCAGAAAACCUUAACAAGACAAACAGGAAAGAAAUAACAGUAAUACUCUCUCCACCAUCAUGUUCUCUAGGGGUAGAAUUACUACAGCCAGAUCAAUCCACCAUUAUCCACCCAAACGUGAAGCACUGCCUGAUGGUCCAAUGUACUAGAGUUGAUCCGAUGGGUCGAAUAGUUGUGAGUUGAGUUGUUGUGCUGUUGGUUGAGAGGAUGAAUCAUUGUUAUGUUGUGGAGUUGAGCUGUUUGUUAGAGUUGGCGAGUAGAACUGUUGAGUUAUGAUUAUGUGAGUUUUGUUGGUUUGAGUUGAGUUGUUAUGUUGAUGUGAGUUGAGUUGAGUUGAGUUGGUUUGAGUGAGGUUGUUAUGAUGAUGUGAGUUGAGUUGGUUUGAGUUGAGUUGUUAUGAUGAUGUGAGUUGAGUUGUGUUGGUCUGAGUUAAGUUGUUAUGAUGAUGUGAGUUGUGUUGGUUUGAGUGAGUUGUUAUGAUGAUGUGAGUUG
ensembl:lncRNA